rnacentral:lncRNA from 1 species
CUCCCUUUUCAUUACAGUGGCCGGGUCUGGCUGUUAGGCUGACUAGAUUGAAGAUGUACAUAAAUACCAAAAUGUAACCAAAGCCAACACCAUAUCAUUGGAAGCAUAGACUAACUAAUGAGACCUCCAUACUAGUCAGUUUUUCCACUAUAGAUUCCAAACCCUCAGUGCAGAUAAAGGAAACAUUAAGAAACAAGGCAACAAGAUACCUCCAAAAAUUCUGAACACUGUAAAAGCUGAUCUCACGGGUACUGAUGGACAGCAAGCUGUGGCAACUAGCAAUAGAUAACUGGUACUUGGUAACUAGCUGUGGGUAACUAGUUGUGAGCACCAGUUACAGGUAUUUAGCAUUGGCUAACUAGUUAUGGGUAACUAGUAAUGGUUAACUAGUUGCAGAUGAUGGCACUGUCCCUUGCCAAAGACUGUUCCAGCCACUAGAAACCAGGAACCCAACCAGAUGCACUAAAGCCCCUGCCCCGGGGGAGCCUGCAGUCCAACAGCAACCACCAAAGGAGCAAGUUAAGCUGCCUAAGGAAAUUUGUCUGAGGAUGAAGCCAGCAACUGAAAACAAAUUAGAGAUGGAGGGACCGAGUCCGGGAUGUUGCUUGAGCCCUGUGUGCAGGACUGCGGAAGCCAGCUCUAGCCCCUUUGCAAGUCUUGCUUAUUGACUCUUGCUCUUAUGCCAGGGUGAGUUUGGGUGGGAUUUCCACCCAAAGAAACCUUAAAGGACUGUGGCCUGCUGAAUGCCAGCUGGAGACAGGUUUUGUUGGUCCACACAGGAUUAAAAUUUUGAGGCAACACG